rnacentral:rRNA from 1 species
UAAUAGUGUAUAUUAAAGUUGUUGCAGUUAAAAAGCUCGUAGUUGAAUGUUGGUGUCGAACGAGCGGUCAGCUUCGGCUGUACUGCUCUCUCGACGCCUUCCUUCUGUGGACUACGUCGCACUUUACUGUGUGGCGCUAGGACGCAGAUCGUUUACUGUGAAAAAAUUAGAGUGUUCAAAGCAGGCCGUACGCUUGAAUACAUUAGCAUGGAAUAAUGGAAUAGGACGUCGGGCCUAUUUUGUUGGUUCUAGGACCGUCGUAAUGAUUAAUAGGGACAGUUGGGGCCGUUUAUAUUCCGUAGUCAGAGGUGAAAUUCUUGGAUUUACGGAAGAUAAACUACUGCGAAAGCAUUCGGCAAGGAUGUUUUCGUUAA